UACAGAGGGCUCAAGCGUUGUUCGGAUUCAUUGGGCGUAAAGGGUGCGUAGGCGGCGCGGUAAGUCGGGUGUGAAAUCUCGGAGCUUAACUCCGAAACUGCAUUCGAUACUGCCGUGCUUGAGGACUGGAGAGGAGACUGGAAUUUACGGUGUAGCGGUGAAAUGCGUAGAUAUCAGGAGGAAUACCGAUGGCGAAGGCAGGUCUCUGGGCUAUAACUGACGCUCAUGCACGAAAGCGUGGGGAGCAAACAGG
rnacentral:rRNA from 1 species